GGGGGCGUACUGGUUUCGACUGUACGAAUCCGCCCGGGACGGCAUGCCGAGGACGGUUCGUUGGCCUCGUAAAAAUAUCGAACCAAAACAUAGUUGCUAACACAGAGUUGGCUCUCGCGGCCUAACAGCCCCGACGUUCGUUCCUGAACACCUGCUACGGGAAACGAACGCCAUUAGCAGGCAUGGUUGUCGGCGGAGUUCGCGCGACGGCAGCCGAGAAACUUCAUGCGAGCUAGGCGAGGUUAUUCGUUGUUCGCCCGUCAUGGCCUCGUAGAAAAUCCUUGGUGAACUAAGCAUGUAGUCGGUCCGGGUUGAAGCGUUCAGGACGGGGGUUCAACUCCCCCCGCCUCCACCC
rnacentral:tmRNA from 1 species